rnacentral:rRNA from 1 species
GUUUGAUCAUGGCUCAGGAUGAACGCUAGCGGCAGACCUAAUACAUGCAAGUCGAACGGUGUCUUCGGACAUAGUGGCGCACGGGUGCGUAACACGUAUGCAACCUACCUUACAUUGGGGGAUAGCCUUUCGAAAGGGAGAUUAAUACCGCAUAAGACAGUAGUCUGGCAUCAGACAGCUGUUAAAGAUUUAUCGAUGUAAGCUGGGCAUGCGACCAAUUAGUUAGUUGGCGAGGUAAUGGCUCACCAAGACUAUGAUUGGUAGGGGAACUGAGAGGUCAAUCCCCCACACUGGCACUAAGAUACGGGCCAGACUCCUACGGGAGGCAGCAGUAGGGAAUAUUGGGCAAUGGACGCAAGUCUGACCCAGCCAUGCCGCGUGCAGGAAGAAGGCGUUAUGCGUUGUAAACUGCUUUUAUACAGGAAGAAACGACUCUUGCGAGAGGCAUUGACGGUACUGUAUGAAUAAGCACCGGCUAACUCCGUGCCAGCAGCCGCGGUAAUACGGAGGGUGCAAGCGUUGUCCGGAUUUAUUGGGUUUAAAGGGUGCGCAGGUGGUUUAUUAAGUCAGUGGUGAAAGACGGUCGCUCAACGACUGCAGUGCCAUUGAAACUGGUAGACUUGAGUAAAGUAGAGGUGGGCGGAAUUGAUAGUGUAGCGGUGAAAUGCAUAGAUAAUUAUCAAGAACUCCCAAUUGCGUAGGCAGCUCACUUGGGCUUUUACUGACACUCAUGCACGAAAGUGUGGGUAUCAAACAGGAUUAGAAUACCCUGGUAGUCCACAACUGUAAACGAUGAUAACUAAGUGUCGGCCGAAUCUGUCGGUGCCCCAGCGAAAGCGUUAAGUUAUCCACCUGGGGAGUACGCCGGCAACGUGAAAAUCAAAGAAAUGACGGGGUUCCGC